rnacentral:rRNA from 1 species
AUUGAACGCUGGCGGCAUGCUUUACACAUGCAAGUCGAACGGCAGCACAGGGAGCUUGCUCCCGGGUGGCGAGUGGCGCACGGGUGAGUAAUACAUCGGAACGUGUCCUGUUGUGGGGGAUAACUGCUCGAAAGGGUGGCUAAUACCGCAUGAGACCUGAGGGUGAAAGCGGGGGAUCGCAAGACCUCGCGCAAUUGGAGCGGCCGAUGCCCGAUUAGCUAGUUGGUGAGGUAAAGGCUCACCAAGGCGACGAUCGGUAGCUGGUCUGAGAGGACGACCAGCCACACUGGGGACUGAGACACGGGUCCAAACUCCUACGGGAGGCAGCAGUGAGGAAUAUUGGUCAAUGGACGAGAGUCUGAACCAGCCAAGUAGCGUGAAGGAUGAAGGUCCUACGGAUUGUAAACUUCUUUUAUAAGGGAAUAAACCUCCCACGUGUGGGAGCUUGUAUGUACCUUAUGAAUAG